UUUUUUUGUUUGAACAUUAAAAUCAUUAGAAAAUAUUAAAAAAAAAUAUCAAACACAUUUUCAAUUGAAACACAACGAAAUGCAUGUCCACUCGCAAUGACAAACAGGGUAUCCUCUCAUCAUCCCCAUACUGAAUCAUUGCAGCACCAAGUUAAUCACAGAUUCAAGCAUCCUCGUUAAUUAUUCCCAAGAUUGGCAAAGAGCACUUGCGAAAAAUUAUUUCUGAUAACUUCUUCCCUAGCAAUCCAUACAUAGAUUCAGCAACCACCUAAACUGACAUUUAACUACACCCCAAUGAAUCAACAACAAUCAUCAACAUACCCUAGUUUAGGGGUCUAGCAGACAGAACUGGUGCCAAUCCGUCGACACAAAUUCAAACAAGAAAAAGAACAGCAAGAGAUCAUCGUAAUAACACAGCAUUGAAGCCCAAUAAGCGAAACCAAAAUCCCAUUCCCAUCGAGUUUGAAAGUCUAACAAAAUCAUGAAAUUUAAAACGGAAAUAAUCUACUCAGUU